rnacentral:misc_RNA from 1 species
GAUGCUUCCCUAAGCUUGAUAGGACAUGUCUGGGAACUAUGGAGUGAAGGCAGGGCACUGGAACUCAUAGAUUCAUCAUUAGAGGAGUCUUAUAUUCCUCAUGAAGUUUCGAGAUGCAUUCAAAUCGGACUCUUAUGUGUGCAAGAAGAUGCUAUGGAUAGACCAACCAUGUUAGUAGUUGUUCUCAUGUUGAAUAGUGAAAUGGCUCUUCCUUCACCAAAACAACCUGCAUUUAUAUUUAGAAAAUCCAGCAACAAUUCUAACUCAACUCUAGGGGAAGAAGGACCAUGUUCUGUAAAUGAGGUGACAAUGACUGGAGUUGUAACUCGCUAAACUGUAGCUGCAGUGGAGAUUUCUAUAACUGUUGUGUGACUACAAUAGGCGCAACAUGUCUGGAUAUGAGAUGGUCUACAAGCAGGGGAAGAAAAGACUAGGAUCUCAGACUAACUGCUGCAUUAAGUUCUCUCCUAUUUAAUCCAAGUGGGCUCAAUUCAUCCGGAACAUUGAGGUCAGUUAUUACAUGAUUGAAUGUGAAUCAUGGUUUCAAAUCGCGGUGGCGGCCGUGUUCGCGGUCACGGUUGUAGGUAAUAAGCCUGUAAUGGGUGUAACGUAAUGUUAACUACUUAACGCUAUGCAAAUUAUUUUGAAAAAUUUGUAAAAUCCAUAAAAUGAAG